rnacentral:rRNA from 1 species
UACGUAGGGUGCGAGCGUUAAUCGGAAUUACUGGGCGUAAAGCGCGCGUAGGUGGUUUGUUAAGUUGGAUGUGAAAUCCCCGGGCUCAACCUGGGAACUGCAUCCAAAACUGGCAAGCUAGAGUAUGGUAGAGGGUGGUGGAAUUUCCUGUGUAGCGGUGAAAUGCGUAGAUAUAGGAAGGAACACCAGUGGCGAAGGCGACCACCUGGACUGAUACUGACACUGAGGUGCGAAAGCGUGGGGAGCGAACGGG